rnacentral:rRNA from 1 species
CCUACGGGAGGCAGCAGCAAGGAAUUUUCCGCAAUCGACGCAAGUCGGACGGAGCAACGCCGCGUGGGGGAAGAAGGCCCUAGGGUUGUAAACCCCUUUUGCGAGGGAAGAAGAUCUGACGGUACCUCGCGAAUAAGUCACGGCUAACUACGUGC